rnacentral:rRNA from 1 species
AGUUUGAUCAUGGCUCAGAUUGAACGCUGGCGGCAGGCCUAACACAUGCAAGUCGAGCGGUAACAGAAAGUAGCUUGCUACUUUGCUGACGAGCGGCGGACGGGUGAGUAAUGCCUAGGGAACUGCCCAGUCGAGGGGGAUAACAGUUGGAAACGACUGCUAAUACCGCAUACGCCCUACGGGGGAAAAGAGGGGAUCUUCGGACCUUCUGCGAUUGGAUGUACCUAGGUGGGAUUAGCUAGUAGGUGAGGUAAUGGCUCACCUAGGCGACGAUCCCUAGCUGUUCUGAGAGGAUGAUCAGCCACACUGGGACUGAGACACGGCCCAGACUCCUACGGGAGGCAGCAGUGGGGAAUAUUGCACAAUGGGCGCAAGCCUGAUGCAGCCAUGCCGCGUGUGUGAAGAAGGCCUUCGGGUUGUAAAGCACUUUCAGCGAGGAGGAAAGGUUAACGGUUAAUACCCGUUAGCUGUGACGUUACUCGCAGAAGAAGCACCGGCUAACUUCGUGCCAGCAGCCGCGGUAAUACGAGGGGUGCAAGCGUUAAUCGGAAUUACUGGGCGUAAAGCGUACGCAGGCGGU